GGGUCGCAAAGAUGGACAGGUGGGACCAUGAAGUUAAACAGCUCCACGAGCAUGCUUUGAGUGUCUACUAUGUGCUGGGCUCUAAGGAUAUGGAAACAAAUUAUGAAGAGUUAUCAACUUGGAGCCAAUUGUGUUUCAUCUAGGCCCCCCACACUUUCAGAUGUCAGUAGUAUGUUAAAGCAAAUUCCAGAUGUCUUGUCAUUUUAUCUGUACAUCACUCAAUAUGUUAAUCUAAAAUAUAAGGAUACUUCGAAAAAUGUGAACACGAGUCUACUUUCAGGGAAGGUGGAGUAGCAGGGAUUGAAUUUAUCCUCCUGCCUGAAACAACAACAAUAACAACAAAAGAAAAAAAAAUACGUGAAAGAGUUUUUGAAGUUUCUAGACAUCAGGCAAUGAGGGACAGUGACACCUGAAGCAAGCAAGUUGAAGCCAUUGCCAGAGCUUAUUGCCUUGAGGAAGUCCAGGUGUGACCAGGGAGGAGGAACACAAGAGGAGCCUGAUGGACUUCCAGAGCAGGGCUUUGUGAAAAUUAAUAAUUUGAUUAUAGAAUUCAAAUGGAAGUGCAAAUGACUUGGAAUAGCCAAAACAACUUUGAAAAAGAAGAGCAAACUUGAGCCUGGGAGGUCAAGGCUGCAGUGAGCCAUGAUCAUGUUACUUCACUCCAGUCUGGGCAAUAGAGGGAGGCCCUGUCUCAAAAAUAAACAAAAUUAGAAGAGCAAAGUUGGAGGAGUAGCCUUACAUGAUUUCAAGACAUUAUACAGCAAAGACAUGGAACCAAUGCAAAAGCCCAUGAAUAGUAGACUAGAUAAAGAAAAUGUGCUACGUACACACCAUGGAAUACUAUGCAGACAUAAGAAGAAUGAGAUCAUGUCCUUUGCAGGAACAUGGAUGGAGCUGGAAGUCAUCAACCUUAGCAAACUAACUCAGGAACAGAAAACCAAAUACCUCAUGUUCUCACUUAUAAGUGGGAGCUAAAUGAGGAGAGCGCAUGGACACAUAGAGGGGAA
rnacentral:lncRNA from 1 species